AGUAGGACUAAAGCCUGGGUCUACAUUAGGACUAAAGCUGGUCUAUACAGUAGGUCUAAAGCCUGUCUAUCCAAGUAGAGACUAAAGCCUGGUCUUACAGUAAGGUUCUAAAGCUGGUCUACAGUAGUACUAAAGCCUGGUCUACAGUAGGACUAAAGCCUGGUCUACAUUAGGACUAAAGCCUGGUCUAAAGCCCGGUCUACAGAAGGUCUAAAGCCUGGUCUACAUUAGGUCUAAAGCCUGUCUACAUUGGGACUAAAGCCACGUCUACCAGUAUGACUAAAGCUGGUCUACAGGUA
rnacentral:lncRNA from 1 species